UGGGGAAUUUUGGACAAUGGGCGAAAGCCUGAUGGUGCGACGCCGCGUGAGGGAUGAAGGCCUUCGGGUUGUAAACCUCUGUCACCGGGGAAGAAACGCUUCAAGUUAACAGCUUGAAGCCUGACUUAACCCGGAGAGGAAGCAGUGGCUAACUCUGUGCCAGCAGCCGCGGUAAUACAGAGACUGCAAGCGUUAUUCGGAUUCACUGGGCGUAAAGGGUGCGCAGGCGGCCGGGUGUGUCAGAUGUGAAAUCCCGAGGCUUAACCUCGGAACUGCGUCUGAAACUACUCGGCUAGAGUAUUGGAGAGGGUAACGGAAUUCACGGUGUAGCAGUGAAAUGCGUAGAUAUUGGGAAGAACACCAGUGGCGAAGGCGGCUAACUGGUCCGGUACUGACGCUGAGGUGCGAAAGCGUGGGGAGCAAACAGGAUUAGAUACCCCCGUAGUCCCUGAGCGGGCUGGCAAGGCGCAU
rnacentral:rRNA from 1 species